rnacentral:misc_RNA from 1 species
GAUGAAGAACUCAGCGAAAUGCGAUAAGUAAUGUGAAUUGCAGAAUUCAGUGAAUCAUCGAAUCUUUGAACGCACAUUGCGCCCGCCAGUAUUCUGGCGGGCAUGCCUGUUCGAGCGUCAUUUCAACCAUCAAGCCCCCGGGCUUGUGUUGGGGACCUGCGGCUGCCGCAGGCCCUGAAAAGCAGUGGCGGGCUCGCUGUCACACCGAGCGUAGUAGAUUUUAUCUCGCUCAGGGCGUGCUGCGGGUUCCGGCCGUUAAACCACCUUCAUAACCCAAGGUUGACCUCGGAUCAGGUAGGAAGACCCGCUGAACUUAAGCAUAUCAAUAAGCGGAGGA